rnacentral:rRNA from 1 species
AACUGUUGCCUCGGCGGGAUCUCUGCCCCGGGUGCGUCGCAGCCCCGGACCAAGGCGCCCGCCGGAGGACCAACCAAAACUCUUUUUGUAUACCCCCUCGCGGGUUUUUUAUAAUCUGAGCCUUCUCGGCGCCUCUCGUAGGCGUUUCGAAAAUGAAUCAAAACUUUCAACAACGGAUCUCUUGGUUCUGGCAUCGAUGAAGAACGCAGCGAAAUGCGAUAAGUAAUGUGAAUUGCAGAAUUCAGUGAAUCAUCGAAUCUUUGAACGCACAUUGCGCCCGCCAGUAUUCUGGCGGGCAUGCCUGUCCGAGCGUCAUUUCAACCCUCGAACCCCUCCGGGGGGUCGGCGUUGGGGAUCGGCCCUCCCUUAGCGGGUGGCCGUCUCCGAAAUACAGUGGCGGUCUCGCCGCAGCCUCUCCUGCGCAGUAGUUUGCACACUCGCAUCGGGAGCGCGGCGCGUCCACAGCCGUUAAACACCCAACUUCUGAAAUGUUGACCUCGGAUCAGGUAGGAAUACCCGCUGAACUUAAGCAUAUCAAUAA